AUUGAACGCUGGCGGCAGGCUUAACACAUGCAAGUCGAGCGGGCGAGGUUGCUUCGGUAACUGAGCUAGCGGCGGACGGGUGAGUAAUGCUUAGGAAUCUGCCUAUUAGUGGGGGACAACAUUCCGAAAGGGGUGCUAAUACCGCAUACGUCCUACGGGAGAAAGCAGGGGCUCUUUAUGACCUUGCGCUAAUAGAUGAGCCUAAGUCGGAUUAGCUAGUUGGUGGGGUAAAGGCCUACCAAGGCGACGAUCUGUAGCGGGUCUGAGAGGAUGAUCCGCCACACUGGGACUGAGACACGGCCCAGACUCCUACGGGAGGCAGCAGUGGGGAAUAUCGGACAAUGGGGGGAACCCUGAUCCAGCCAUGCCGCGUGUGUGAAGAAGGCCUUUUGGUUGUAAAGCACUUUAAGUGGGGAGGAGGCUUACCUGGUUAAUACCUGGGCUAAGUGGACGUUACCCACAGAAUAAGCACCGGCUAACUCUGUGCCAGCAGCCGCCGCCG
rnacentral:rRNA from 1 species